ACAGCAGCAGCCACGGUAAUACGUAGGGUGCAAGCGUUAAUCGGAAUUACUGGGCGUAAAGCGUUCGCAGGCGGUUAUAUAAGACAGAUGUGAAAUCCCCGGGCUCAACCUGGGAACUGCAUUUGUGACUGUAUAGCUAGAGUACGGCAGAGGGGGAUGGAAUUCCGCGUGUAGCAGUGAAAUGCGUAGAUAUGCGGAGGAACACCGAUGGCGAAGGCAAUCCCCUGGGCCUGUACUGACGCUCAUGCACGAAAGCGUGGGGAGCAAACAGGAUUAGAUACCCCUGUAGUCCCUGUCUCUUAUAC
rnacentral:rRNA from 1 species